rnacentral:rRNA from 1 species
AUGGUGCACGCCUCGACGGCCGAGCGCUUCAGCAGCGUGUUCGCCUCAUUCGACCGUGACGCCGACGGCAGGAUCUCCGCGGCUGAGCUGCGGCUGUGCAUGAAGGCGGCGCUGGGCGAGGACGUGUCAGCGGAGGACGCCGAGGCGCUCGUGGCGUCGGCUUCGGCUGACGCGGACGGAGACCGUGGCAUGCCAGACCGGCUGCUGGACGAGCAGGAGUUCCUCUGGCUGGUGGCACCGCCAGAAACAGAGGAAGAGGAGGAGCGGCGCCGGGGGCUGAGGGAGGCGUUCGCGAUGUACGAGGUGAAGGGCGAAGGGUGCAUCACGCCGGCGAGCCUGAUGCGGACUCUCGCCAGGCUGGGGUCCGAGCAGGGCAUCGAGGAGUGCCGCGCCAUGAUCCGCAGAUUUGAUCUGAAUGGAGAUGGAGUUGUUUGCUUCGAUGAGUUCAAGGCCAUGAUGGAUGCCUAG